rnacentral:rRNA from 1 species
UACGAGUGCCCCAAGCGUUAUCCGGAAUCAUUGGGCGUAAAGGGUGUGUAGGCGGUUGUGUUAGUCUUCUGUUAAAUUCUUCGGCUUAACCGGGGGCAUGCGGAGGAAACGGCACAACUAGAGGAUGCGAGAGGUGAAUGGAACUCAUGGAGUAGGGGUGAAAUCCGUUGAUAUCAUGGGGAACACCAAAUGCGAAGGCAAUUCACUGGCGCACUCCUGACGCUGAGACACGAAAGCGUAGGUAGCGAAUGGG